CUCUGCCUCCUCUACCACGGGAAGAUGCAUCCAUAGACAUGGACUUCUCGCUGAGCGUGGUUAUGGAGAUGAUGCAGCACCGUCAAGACUACGGGAAAAAGAGCAGCUUCUUCAGAAAGUAGAGAAUGGGGUGGCAAACCUACGUACUAGUGCGUCCAUCGGUCGCUUGUACAGGCAUCAACCUCAGGCUCAGCUGCAAGAGCUCAAGUUCUAAGUCAUAAGCAUGUAUAAAAAAGCGAAGUUGUAGUAAGGCUUACCAGUGAGCGUGAAAGGAGAGCUUUCUGUAUAGCAGCAUAAGAGACUCAAGCUUGUCUUUUGCUUUCGAUCCAUAGCUCCAAUUCGUAACCCCCUCUCGCCUCGCAUGAUGUCGAGCAAUUCACGCGACCAAAAGAAUCAGCGAGCUCCAUCUCUACGAGAAAGCGUACGCAAAACUACUAGCCCCGUACCAUUUUCUUUCUUAGAAUCCGCGUUACACCGAACUUCCCAGAUUCGAACGCUAGAAUUUUCAUGACCGCAUUCCAAAAUCCCAGCAUCCACACGCCCACAUUUCAAGCAGAGGCUCCCGCUGAGCGCAGCGAUCCCUCCCGCGCCUCUUCCCUGUGCCGCUAUCGCUCACCCUAUCGAGAGAGCGCCAUCGCUAAACCCUAGAAACCCUCUAAACCUCGAGCAAUAUAAAAAAAAAAACCAUUUAAUGGAUAUGGUCUAAAGAAUUUCCAGAAAGAUCUUUUCGUUUCUCCUACGGCAUAGUACCACACUCGAUGAUUUCACGUGAAGCGAAUAUACUCGCUUUUCUUUGCUUCUUUGUUUUGCGUAUCCCCGUUCUUCGUCUGGGAUGUUCUAAACCAAAAAAAAAGCCAAGAAAACCACGAGAGAAUCAAGUCAAUAACAUUGACGUGUUAGAUCCAAAUCCAAGCAAGCUCUUCCAAGAAAUGUACCUCCCAAGUCGCUGCCAUGAAAGCCAGUCCCCCGUACCGCAAAAAAACUCUAAACAAAUCCCUCCACCAAAAAGCUGUCUAG
rnacentral:lncRNA from 1 species